GUGAGGAAUAUUGGUCAAUGGGCGGGAGCCUGAACCAGCCAAGUCGCGUGAAGGAAGAAGGAUCUAUGGUUCGUAAACUUCUUUUGCAGGGGAAUAAAGUGCAGGACGUGUCCUGUUUUGUAUGUACCCUGAGAAUACGGAUCGGCUAACUCCGUGCCAGCAGCCGCGGUAAUACGGAGGAUCCGAGCGUUAUCCGGAUUUAUUGGGUUUAAAGGGUGCGUAGGUGGUUUGAUCAGUCAGCGGUGAAAGUUUGCAGCUUAACUGUAAAAAUGCCGUUGAAACUGUCGGACUUGAGUGUAAAUGAGGUAGGCGGAAUGCGUGGUGUAGCGGUGAAAUGCAUAGAUAUCACGCAGAACUCCGAUUGCGAAGGCAGCUUACUAAGCUACAACUGACACUGAAGCACGAAAGCGUGGGGAUCAAACAGGAUUAGAAACCCCAGUAGUCC
rnacentral:rRNA from 1 species